rnacentral:snoRNA from 1 species
UGGAGAGCUCCAAAAUAUAAAUCCUCUUCUAUAACUCAAAACUCACUGUUCAAUAUUGAGUUUUGAUACAGGUAAAAAGAAAUAUU